rnacentral:rRNA from 1 species
GACGAACGCUGGCGGCGUGCUUAACACAUGCAGGUCGAACGGGAAGGCCCUGCUUUUGUGGGGUGCUCGAGUGGCGAACGGGUGAGUAACACGUGAGUAACCUGCCCUUGACUUUGGGAUAACUUCAGGAAACUGGGGCUAAUACCGGAUAGGAGCUCCUGCUGCAUGGUGGGGGUUGGAAAGUUUCGGCGGUUGGGGAUGGACUCGCGGCUUAUCAGCUUGUUGGUGGGGUAGUGGCUUACCAAGGCUUUGACGGGUAGCCGGCCUGAGAGGGUGACCGGCCACAUUGGGACUGAGAUACGGCCCAGACUCCUACGGGAGGCAGCAGUGGGGAAUAUUGCACAAUGGGCGGAAGCCUGAUGCAGCAACGCCGCGUGCGGGAUGACGGCCUUCGGGUUGUAAACCGCUUUCGCCUGUGACGAAGCGUGAGUGACGGUAAUGGGUAAAGAAGCACCGGCUAACUACGUG